GGAGAUACUGUCUGGCUCGAGGCCGGGAGAGGUGAGAGGUACUUCAGGGGUAGGGGUGAAAUCUUGUAAUCCUUGAAGGCCCCAGUGGUGAAGGCGUCUCACCAGAACGGACCUGACGGCAAGGGACGAAAGCUGGGGGCACGAACCGGAUUAGAUACCCGGGUAGUCCUAGCCGUAAACGAUGCUCGCUAGGUGUCAGGCCAUGGUGCGACCGUUGUCUGGUGCCGUAGGGAAGCCGUGAAGCGAGCCACCUGGGAAGUACGGCCGCAAGGCUGAAACUUAAAGGAAUUGGCGGGGGAGCACCACAACGGGUGGAGCUUGCGGUUUAAUUGGAUUCAACGCCGGACAAUCUUACCGGGGACCGACAGCAAUAUGUAGGCCAGGCUGAAGACUUUGCCUGAUUCGCUGAGAGGUGGUGCAUGGCCGUCGUCAGUUCGUACUGUGAAGCAUCCUGUUAAGUCAGGUAACGAGCGAGACCCA
rnacentral:rRNA from 1 species